rnacentral:rRNA from 1 species
GGGGAAUCUUCCGCAAUGGACGAAAGUCUGACGGAGCAACGCCGCGUGAGUGAUGACGGCCUUCGGGUUGUAAAGCUCUGUUAAUCGGGACGAAUGGUUCUUGUGCAAAUAGUGCGAGGAUUUGACGGUACCGGAAUAGAAAGCCACGGCUAACUACGUGCCAGCAGCCGCGGUAAUACGUAGGUGGCAAGCGUUGUCCGGAAUUAUUGGGCGUAAAGCGCGCGCAGGCGGAUCAGUUAGUCUGUCUUAAAAGUUCGGGGCUUAACCCCGUGAUGGGAUGGAAACUGCUGAUCUAGAGUAUCGGAGAGGAAAGUGGAAUUCCUAGUGUAGCGGUGAAAUGCGUAGAUAUUAGGAAGAACACCAGUGGCGAAGGCGACUUUCUGGACGAAAACUGACGCUGAGGCGCGAAAGCCAGGGGAGCGAACGGGAUUAGAUACCCCGGUAGUCCUGGCCGUAAACGAUGGGUACUAGGUGUAGGAGGUAUCGACCCCUUCUGUGCCGGAGUUAACGCAAUAAGUACCCCGCCUGGGGAGUACGACCGCAAGGUUG